UCCUCCCAGCCGAACACAUCACACGCACACAACACACACACGCAUGGAAGGAGAAAAGAAAACCCUCUCUUUCUCUCUCUAAAUCUCUCCAAAAAUUAAAGGAAUUGGCGGAGGUUGAAGCUCGGGAGUGAAUCACCAUUGUCUUCUUCAUCUUUUCCAUGAUUUGGAGCUAAUUUUGAGGUAACGAAACGCGUUUGCGAAGACGGUUCGGCAAUCCGACGAGCCGUUACGAAGUUAUUAAAGAAACGGACAUUUAGGCUUCGGGUCCGCCGGGAGGGGCGAGGCGACGUCGUAAAAUCAUGGAAAUGGAUUUGAGGCACCGUGUUAGCGUGGCGAAGAGCUUCUGCACUUGAAACAGCGAAGCGGCGCACUCUUGGACCGCAAUUGUGAGAUCGGGCCCAAACGGGGCCGGGCGCCGCGGGAGGCCGAUUGCAAAUAUCGACAAGCAAUCGGAACGCGUGUUAAGGUUCGUACGUGAGCGGCGCGGCGGCGCGAGGAAAGGGCGUAGCUCCGUAGAUAGCGCCCUACCCCGGAGACCAGAGCUAGCAGAACCCCGUCUACAAAGCUUAGGGGUAAAGGAAAUGAAAAGAAAGUAAAUGUAUCAAAUUGUAAUAAGUAAACGAUGUACUACUUAGAUUGUAUUUGGAAGUUAA